UACGUAGGGGGCAAGCGUUGUCCGGAUUUAUUGGGCGUAAAGAGCGUGUAGGCGGCCAUACAGGUCAGCUGUGAAAACUCGAGGCUCAACCUCGAGACGCCGGUGGAAACCAUCAGACUAGAGUCCGGAAGAGGAGAGUGGAAUUCCUGGUGUGGCGGUGAAAUGCGCAGAUAUCAGGAAGAACACCCGUGGCUAAGGCGGCUCUCUAGUACGGUACUGACGCUGAGACGCGAAAGCGUGGGGAGCGAACAGG
rnacentral:rRNA from 1 species